ACAAGCUAAAAUACAAUUCAUUAAUUAACCAUAGCAUAAGGAGUAGACGCUCUGAAAAAUAACGCAUACCAGUAAAGCAGCUUAUAAUCACUAAUAGAACUUCAUUACAGCACACGCAAAGCAGGAGAGAAGAUGAUACACUACAAGGAUUUAUUAAUGCGAAAAUGUUUGACAAACUGACCGACCAUACAGGCAAUAACCUUUACCUGAGUAUGCUACCACCAGCUGGACACACGUAGGUAUUUACAGGGAAGAACACCAGAGACCUAUUAAGUCCUACUUGAUUUAUCCAAAUUGACACACAUGGGAGGUCAAAGCUCUUAUACCUUUCUUGCCAUUUGAACAAAUGAAUGAGAACAAGUUCAGAACACCAACAGACUAAACCACAUAAAUGCAGAGGACACAACCAUCCAUGAAACUUUACCUAUUGCUGAGGCCAAAAUGAAUACAAUGGCAAGAGGAAACCUACAUCCAGCUCCGAGGCAUCAUGUGAGAUUUCCUGGCCUCUGAAUCACCUGCUACAACUUGGCUGCUGCUUGAGCCAAUGCCCGAACCACCUGCCAGCAUUGCCAUCAAACUGCCACCAUGCACCCUGCCUUCUGGCACGAGGACUGACAUUGUUGGCAAGCCUGGUUCCCCAACAGGGCUAUGGGCAUUUGGGACACCAAAAGUUUUCAGAUUAGUAGUUUUGCUUGCUGAUGCCACAAGAUUAGGACCCAUCUUCACAAUAUCCACAUUCAUGUCCUCAGCAAUGACAACUUCUUUCAUCUUCUCAGGCUGGCUAACUUUGGGUUCCUGGAUGGUGGGUCCCAGAGUGACACCACCAUGAACCCUCUUAUCCUGCACCAGUCCACUAUGGAGCGCACAGAGACCUGUCUUACCCCUGGCAAAUGAGUUACAAGGACCAGUAAGCUGGACACCAUAUUCUGAGCCAGGAUGGCCCCAAGAGCAUCUUUUCCCCCCACCAUGUGCCUUACAGAAAUCUGUGCUGCCCUGGGCACUUUUGUCACACCCUUCAAACUUGCAUCUUUUUCCGCCACCAUGACGAACACAAAAAUCUGUUCGUCCCCUUGCACUUUUGGUGCACUCAGGUACAGCACAUCUCUUGCCACCCCCAUGUGCAACACAGAAGUUGGUCCCGCCAUGGACACUCUUCGUACAAACCCCGCCACCUUGGAAGGCACACCUUUUCCCGCCUCCAUGGCCCUUACAAAAAGGUGUGCUCCCUUCAGCACCCUUGGUGCAUCCUGGAGCUGUGCAGCGUUUUCCACCACCAUGCGCUUUGCAGAACAUUGUGCACCCUUGUGCUCCUUUCGUGCAUCCUGUGGCUUGGCAUCGACGACCACCUCCAUGUGAAAUGCACAGGCCUGAUAGGCCUUCAGCACUUUUUGUGCAAUUUUCUUUCUGACAUCUCUUCCCACCACCAUGCCGAAUGCACAAUCCUGAUUUCCCUCUUGCAGCCCGAGUGCAACCCUCACGACUGCAUCUUCGACCACCACCAUGGCAAAUACAAAAAUCUGUGCGACCUUCUGCACUUUUUGUGCAACCAAGGAAUUCACAUCGCCGUCCACCCCCAUGGGCCUUGCAGUACACAGUCCGGCCCUCAGCUCCCUUGUGGCAACCUGGUUUCUGACACCUUCUGCCACCACCAUGUGAAAUGCAACGGCCAGAAGCACCUCUGGCUCCCUUUCCACAUCCCUCAACCUGACACAACUUGGAACUAGAGCUGCGUUGAUGUGGCUGUUGCUGCUGUGUUAUCCCAGAAGUACAGGUGACUGAACUUUUUGGCACUGUUAUCACACUCGAUGAGUGGUCUGGAACAAUAAGAGUAGGAUCACAAGUUCUUCGAAAAUGGUUGGAGAAGAAGCUAGCCUCUUUGUUCUGUGACAGAAGCAAUGUAAUCCCAGUUUUCCAACUACAUGAUGUUGAUCCUUCAUCCGCAUUUGUAGCCCCACCAACAGCAAGUGGCAUCUCCAUGCCAAAUUCAAAUGGAGUGGAGUUUGGAUAUGGAUAGACACUAGUAAUGUCAGAUUCGGAUGGCACAGUAGAAAGACUCAACUCCAGAUCAACCUUGGGCUGCAAUUCUAGUUCUUUAAGAUUUGAACUAGCAGAUUUAUUUUGACUUGACAUUUUGUCAUUACCCAGGUGGAGGGAAAAGUCCAAUUCAAGCUCCAUUGACGACUCCUCAUCAGUUUCUUUGGCUGAAGACAUUGUAGUGCAAACAGUUGCUGAACUUCCCUUGCUGUCUGAGGAACUUGAUGAGCGGCCUAGCCCAAGAGACAAUGAAGAGCCAACACAUUGACCCAUGGAUCCAUCUAUUAAAUUCCAUUUCCGUUUAACUCCCUUUGAUGGAGACCUGUAAGUGACUGAAGAACCAGGGGAAUCAAGACGUAAAAUAGUAUCUGCACUAUAUUCAGCCACAGCUCCUCCAACUUGCAUUAAACUACCUAAAAUGUUGAAUGCGUUUGAGGGAUAAUUAGAAGCAAAGCCCAAGUUCUGAAACUUGUUCUCCAUAAACAAUGACUAAAAUACAAAGUGAUUUCCAAAACCUAAUAUCAACCUCAAUGAACAGUACACCUGACUUCUGGGAUCAAGAAAAUUAGCUACAAAACUAGGGUUAGAUGUCUCUUAAGGAGAACAUCCCACCCCCGCUUACAAAUCCAGAAGUAUCACAGCGAUCCAUUUUCUUGUAAAUUUAACAAAAACUGACUAAUUAGUUGGAAUGAAGCCCAGCGAAUCUGAGUAGAAUGAAUUCCUUCAUAAAAACUUUGAAGCUGCCAACCAUUCUGUUAUUCAUACAAUAAGAAUAAGAAAGUAAGUGCAACCAUAUUCAGUAUCAUAAAACAUCAUGAUUUUAAGACACACAAUCUGACUUUCUAUCAUCUACUAUCCCAAAUUUUCAACAGAAAACAGUUAACAACUCCACACGAUAACUCGCAUUUUAAGAGGUUCAAGCACAAUGAUAUAGAAAAUACAGCAAUCAAAAUUUCACAUUCAAAUUCACAAAUAGAAAAUAAGAAGAAAAAUAGAAAUAAGUAAACCAAUAGCAAAACAAGUCACUGCUUAUCAUGCCAUAAAAUCAGUGCUGAAAGCUCAUGAUACAAAUAAUCACAAAAUUCAAGAACACUAAUUGAGAAUUGUACAGCCAUUAGGUAAGGGAAAUCUUAAGAAACUUAUACAAGGAAUAGAUGAUGUAAGAAUACAAAUAUAGUUCUUAACCAAGAUUUAUAAGUCAUUUGGUUAGCAGUUUUUGCAUACUCUUUUGCUUCUGAAAAGCAAGAAAAAGAAUUUGAUAUCAAAGAUCAUAUAUUUCCAAAAUCCAAGCCAAAUAGAACAAUAGACAAUAAAUUUUAGGAAAUAUUACCAAAUAGGGAAGAAAGAGAGUUGAGCAAAUUUCUCUUCAUACACCAGAGUAGAGCAAGUACUGAAUAUAACAGCCAGCAAAAGUAUAUAGGCACCUCAAGUUCUAGGAGAGCAAAACCACACGGCCGGAAGAUAAUAAUAGAAAAACAGUAAUGUAACAAUUAGGACUAAAUAGCAUAUAAUUGCUACAGAGUCAACUAACGAAGAGGAAAAUUUAAUGAAUAGAUGAGGGAAUGAAAAUAAUUAGAGGUUCAACCUCAGAGGUUGUAGCGACUAGAUAUCAGAGUUCCUAAAUGCCUCAUCUAAAACAGCUAGGCUUGAUUAAUAUUUCCACAAUGCCUGAUUUGGUAUGGGUGUUUUGUCUUUCAGAAGAACUACUGGAAGCAAUCGGUGACUGUUUUCAUCCUCCUUUCUUUUUAUCCAGUUAUA
rnacentral:misc_RNA from 1 species